AUAAUAUCUCUCGUUACAGACGAGCCCACGUCCGAUGGGUCAUUCCAUUUCCAUGGCCUUCACGAGCUACUAGGAAGGGAGGCGCGCCCGCUCCUGGGAGGCGCACCGUUACGCUGUAUUAACCCUGUGGCAUGAGGACCGUACACUGCUUCGUUGGUGCAUUUGUUUGCCACGAUGUUAUAUGAAUUUCACCACCCAGAAAUGUUCAACGUGUGACAAUAAUGCUGGGUACUUAGCAAGUUGGAAACAGUGGUUGACAAUCGACAUCAAUACAGCCAUUCAAUACAGGUAGUGUUGUAGCAAAGGUCACGCAGAUCUUAGGCUCCCUUUGGUUGAGCUUUCCAACCUGCUUUUGCUUUUGCAAAAGUCAAAAGCCAACCAAAGGGUUCCAAAACCAUUGAUGCUUUUGCUCAAAAGCAGCUUUUAUAGUAGUACAAAUCCAAAAGCACCUCUCCCCCUACUUUCAAGUACUCACCUGCCACUGGUUAUGAUGUACCCUUUCAGAUUUAUUUUUCUCCCGCACGCGAAAACAACUAGACCUCUCCUCUCCCCCGUUCACCCGCACAGCGCCAUCUCGCCACCCGUCGCCCGCCAACCUUGGCCGCCGGCCGGCCACCGUCCGCCUCCCCUGGCCGUCGGCCGGCCACCGUCCGCCUCCCCUGGCCGCCGGGCCUCGCGCCGCUGCCCCCUAAUGGCCGUCUGCCACCCCCAUCGUCUGGCCCCCGCUGCCGGCCCCGUGACGCCCGCCGCCGUCCCCCAUCGCCGGGCCGCCGUCGCCAGGCCAUCUGACGGCCGCCUCCUCCUCCUGACGCCCGCUGUCGGGCCCCCAUCGCCGCCCCUCGACGCCCGCUGCCUCCCCUGGCCGCCGGGGCUCCAUCGCCGCCCCCCGACGCCCGCCGCCCGCCGCCGGGCCCGCGUCGCCCCCCUAAGCACCCGCCGCCCCCUUGAACAGGAGGGCGCCCCCAUCACCGGCUCCUGCCCCUGCUCCUGGUGACUGACCAGAGCAUAUACACCCAAGGUAUGUAUCAACUAAUUUUUUUAUAAUUUAUAACAUUUGUUUCGUAUAAAUUAUUUACACUAAUUCAAUUAUUUUAUGUUGUCAGGUACAAUUACAACACAAAAUCAAAUAGGAAGCUACCUGUGAAAAGGAAUUUCUUGAGGUAUGAACAAUCAAUUGUACUAGCCUCUUACUGUUUCUUUUCUGAGAUAAAUCUCAUUUGUUGUUGCUGGCAUCCUCAGUUGUUUUGUCAGAAGUUGAGAGGGGAACUUUUUAUAUGUAUUGUAUUAGUAUUUGACUUACCUAUCAACAUCCACUAUAGCCUGCUUAUGAGAUAAAGCACUUCUCUACUAUCAGUAUGGUUAAAUGCAAAAUGAUAAUUCAAAACUAUAUAAUGGAUGAACAUUUGUACUUUGACAUCUAUGAUUAUUUAUUUCCCAUUAGUUUAAUAGCUGGAUAGUUGGCUUCAUAGUUAUGUCUUAGCUUAGUUCUUAUGAGUUUUCUUUGAUUGGUUGAACUUCAUAAUUUGCUAGUCUCUACUAACGGAUUAACCUCAACCAACAAUGUUUCGUCUAUUGAGUCAUUGGCAAUAUUCUUGUGGAUCGUCGGAGGACCACAAUCUUUUUUACAAGCUGGAAAUCGUUUCACACGGGACAGUUCACAUGAAGUUUCACGAAGUGUUGAAAUGUUUGCGCAAGUUAGCUAAGGACAAUAUUAAGCCGAGAGAUCUUACUUUUUCUACGGAGCAUGAAAGGGUGAGAGAGGACCAUUUUUGGCCAUACUUUAAAGGCGCAAUUGGAGCAAUAGAUGUUUCACAUGUCAAAGUGGUAGUACCAGUGGACGAAGUGGUUCACUACACAUGCCGUCAUGGAUAUACAUCUCAAAAUGUGCUAGCUAUUUGUGACUUUGAUAUGAGGUUCACCUUUGCGGUUGCCGGGUGGCCGGGUUCUGCACAUGACACACGUAUCCUCAAUCAUGCAUUGGCAAAUUUUCCUUCAUUUCCCAUGCCUCCUAAAGGUAUACAUGGUUCUUUCAACAAAUUAGCAAUAUUUGUAUUAUUAUGUACCUUACUGACUUGAUUUUGUAGGAAAGUAUUAUCUCGUGGACUUAGGUUACCCAAACCGAAUUGGGUAUCUUGCGCCUUUCAAAGGAAGCACAUACCAUAUACCAGAAUUUCAGCAUCGUUCGGGACCUCCUCAAGGAAAGUACAAGAUGUUCAAUUUUUUGCAUUCAUCUCUUCGUAAUGUCAUUGAAAGGUCUUUUGGAGUCUUAAAGCAGAAGUGGCGUAUUUUGAAGGAUAUGCCAAGUUUCUCACCUCGUACUCAGAAACAUAUCAUUAUGGCUUAUCUUGCAUUGCAUAAUUUUAUUCGUGAUAGCAAUUUGUGUGAUAAGGAGUUUAAGAGAUGUGAUGAUGAUGAGGAUUACUUGGUACAGCAUACAUGUGGUAUGAGAUAAACACAAGGAGAUGAUAGUGACGACGUGGAGAAUGAGGAUACCAUGAAUACCAUUCGCACUAGGAUAGCUGAUGCUUUGGUUAGUGCGAGAGGAGGAGAGUAAUGUUGAGGAAUGGCAUCCUUGUAUAGAACUUUUUGAUGGAUAUAGUUCUAUUUAUGUGGACCAAUUACUUUAAUGGAUGAAAAAUAUAUAAAAUUUAUUUUUUUUCUUCCUAAAAUAGUGGUUUACAUUUGAACUAGUGAACGCAUUAUUUUAUUACGAGCAAUUUGCAUAUAAACACACUCACAGAUCUUUAGGGGCAUUACAGGUAUUUCUUACACAGCCUACAGUUUCAUAGCUCCUCUAACCAAACGGUCUUCUGCUUUUCCCACAGCUGCUUUUCCACAGCCCACAGCUCACAGCAGCUUUUCCAAAAAUCACAGCCUAACCAAACGCACCCUUAGCUGUGCGUGUUGUGGUAUGCUUACCACAGCACGUAUUAACAUGAGGUGAAAGAAUAAAAGCAAUGGAAUACCCUUACUAUCAGUGACAUCAUUCAUUGUUCUACAACUCUUUGUAGAACAGUCUGCCUUGAAAUUUACUUGUAAGUCCGUACCUGCAAAAGAGCAAACAAUAUAUGUCUUCACGCAGAAUACACAAGGGAUAAGUUACAUAUAGCUAACAAAAACUGAAUAUAUAGGUUCUAUUAAUGUCGAAAGGAACCGAGCAAUAGGGCAUAUUUGCUAAACUACUGCAGACUUUCGAAAAAGAAAUGGUGUAAGUUUGUUCUGGUCCUUAAAAUAUUAGAAAUCAGAAUCUCCAAGGUUGGCAUGUUCAUAAAAAGGAAAAGAGUCAGUGUCCAAAAUCCUCAUUUGUGGCGAUAACUUAUUUUCAGGGAGCAUGUACUCUUAAGAAACAUCUGGCGGUCAUUCAGGAUGCUUGAGUUAUUAUUUGCAGUAUCAACUAAAAUUAGUGUAAAAGAAUACUUUGACACAAAAGAAUCUUGAUUUAAGCAUCACAAUAUUACCCUGCAACACAUCUCGUCUCAUCUGUCUGACUGGAUUAUCUGAAAACACAAUAUUAUUAUCCUGCAACAGAGGUCACCAAUUUGAUUGGAU
rnacentral:lncRNA from 1 species